rnacentral:rRNA from 1 species
CCUACGGGAGGCAGCAGGGGGGAAUAUUGGGCAAUGGGCGCAAGCCUGACCCAGCAACGCCGCGUGAAGGAAGAAGGCUUUCGGGUUGUAAUCUUCUUUUGUCAGGGAAGAGUAGAAGACGGUACCUGACGAAUAAGCCACGGCUAACUACGUGCCCGCAGCCGCGGUAAUACGUAGGUGGCAAGCGUUGUACGGAUUUACUGGGUGUAAAGGGCGUGUAGCCGGGUUGACAAGUCAGAUGUGAAAUCCUGCGGCUUAACCGCAGAACUGCAUUUGAAACUGUUGAUCUUGAGUACUGGAGAGGCAGACGGAAUUCCUAGUGUAGCGGUGAAAUGCGUAGAUAUUAGGAGGAACACCAGUGGCGAAGGCGGUCUGCUGGACAGCAACUGACGGUGAGGCGCGAAAGCGUGGGGAGCAAACAGGAUUAGAUACCCUUGUAGUC